rnacentral:lncRNA from 1 species
AACCAACAAAACUGGCACUCAAUAAUUAAUAAUAAAUCUUCGGUAUAUUGUAAAAGUUAUGUAGCACACAUACCACUGACAACUGAAAGCUGUUUAGAAUGAAUCGUCUUCAUCAUAUCAAACAAUAUGGUAACCUCUUUGAUUAAUUACUUAAUGAUUAACGUCUAAUUUCUAUUGGUUGCCAACAUUUCAAUGUUUCUAUACUUCCGAAAAUCUAAAAUGAGAAUGUUAAG